rnacentral:snoRNA from 1 species
GAAGGCCUAUGAUGAUUAAGAAUUGCCUACAUUGUCAGAUAUUCACUCUGAUGACAAUGAAAGUAACAAAUCUGAGGUCUAG